rnacentral:rRNA from 1 species
GAUGAACGCUGGCGGCGUGCCUAAUACAUGCAAGUCGAGCGAAAAGACGAGGAGCUUGCUCCCCUGACGUUGGCGGCGGGCGGGUGAGUAACACGUGGAUAACCAACUUCUUUGACGGGGAUAACUUCGGGAAACAGGAGCUAAUAAUAGCUCAUAUAUUCAACCGCAUGAAGCAAUAGUUCAUGACAGUUUUGCUGUCACAUAUAGACGGUUCCGGGCCGCAUUAGCUAGUUGGUAAGGUAACGGCCUACCAAGGCGACGAUGCGUAGCCGAGCUGAGAGGGUGAUCGGCCACACUGGAACUGAGACACGGUCCAGACUCCUACGGGAGGCAGCAGUAGGGAAUCUUCCGCAAUGGGCGAAAGCCUGACGGAGCAACACCGCGUGAGUGAUGAAGGUCUUCGGAUCGUAAAGCUCUGUUAUUAGGGAAGAACAAAUGUGUAAGUAACUAUGCACGUCUUGACGGUACCUAAACAGAAAGCCACGGCUAACUACGUG